CCUGCCAGUGGCUAAGCUAAGACGGCCGCGGUAUCCUGACCGUGCAAAGGUAGCAUAAUCAUUUGUCUUUUAAAUGGAGACUUGUAUGAAUGGCGGAACCUUCUUCAACUGUCUCCCUUUCCACUCCCCCAAAUUUCUAUUUCCGUGAAGAAGCAGAAAUAAAAGAGAAAGACGAGAAGACCCUGUCGAGCUUCAGCUUAAAGGUGAAAAACUAAACAUCAUCCAAAAGCUUUGGUUGGGGCAACCAUGGAGAAAACACAUCCUCCAGAAAAAAUAGAAGAAAACCCUUCACUAUUUUCAACCUCAAAGAACCAGAAACUGGUAAUCGGAAAAAGUUACCGCAGGGAUAACAGCGUAAUUUUCUCUAAGAGUCCUUAUUGACGAGAAGGUUUGCGACCUCGAUGUUGGAUUGGGGCCUCCUUUGGGUGCAGAAGCUCUAAAAGGUUAGACUGUUCGUCUAUUAAAGCCCUACGUGAUC
rnacentral:rRNA from 1 species